rnacentral:lncRNA from 1 species
GGGAGCGGAAAUGGUGCGGGGAGUCAGCCCCUGGGGCCGCCCGGGGAGCUGGGAUGCAGCGCGGGCCACGUGCGCCCGGCAGUACUUAGGUGGUGGCGGCCGGCAGGCGGUGGGGGAGACCUUCCGUGAACUGGCCUUUGCUCCGCCGAGACGACCACCCCUUAGCCGCAGGGGCGCCCGGUGUUUUUCUGCUUUGAUUUCUGAGGCUACUGACGCCCCGAGCGGAGCCGGCAUCUCCAGACCAGGCCGUGGAGCUGCAGCGAGAAGAAUGUGCCUGCUUUGGCUGUGGAUCGCGAGCGCCCGGGCCGCAAAGAUUCAGGGAGAGGUGGGGACGACACGUCAAAGACAUUAUGAGGAAGAAGAUGAAACUCAAAGGCUCUGGCAGCCCCCUCCGUGCUGUUUAUGAAUUGGCGUCGAAGUCUGGGGCUGCCGUGGUAAGGCUGCCAGCGCUGACGAGGACGCAGCAUUUGUGGGAAUUCUGUGACUCCAGAAGGCGAAAG